UAGGGAAUCUUCGGCAAUGGGGGCAACCCUGACCGAGCAACGCCGCGUGAGUGAAGAAGGUUUUCGGAUCGUAAAGCUCUGUUGUAAGAGAAGAACGUGUGUGAGAGUGGAAAGUGCACACAGUGACGGUAACUUACCAGAAAGGGACGGCUAACUACGUGCCAGCAGCCGCGGUAAUACGUAGGUCCCGAGCGUUUUCCGGAUUUAUUGGGCGUAAAGCGAGCGCAGGCGGUUUAAUAAGUCUGAAGUUAAAGGCCAUGGCUUAACCAUUGUUCGCUGUGGAAGCUGUUAAACUUGAAGGCAGAAGGGGAGGGUGGAAUUCCAUGUGUAGCGGUGAAAUGCGUAGAUAUAUGGAGGAACACCGGUGGCGAAAGCGGCUCUCUGGUCUGUAACUGACGCUGAGGCUCGAAAGCGUGGGGGGCAAACAGG
rnacentral:rRNA from 1 species